ensembl:lncRNA
UUUUCUCUUGUUGCUUUUAAUAUUUUAUCUUUGUCAUAAACAUAAUGAAAUUCAUUGUAUGUUAAACUUAUAUGUGUUAUUUGUGUGAAGAAAAGAAGUAAGGCAGGGUAGAGGGGAAUGAGAGUAUCAGGGAAGCAAAUUGGAAUUUUAAAUAGUGUGGCCAGGUGAGUUUUGUGGAGGUGCCGUAGGAACAGACUUAGAAGAGGAGAGGGAGAGAGCCUUGUGAAGAUUGUAGGGAGGAACACUCCAGGAACAAGGAAUAGCCAGUGCAAAGGGUCUACAACAGGAAGGUGUCUUACGUUUGAUGAGUACCAAGUAACCAAGGGACAGAGUAGUAGGUAUUAGGGCAGAGUAGCAGCAUAGGACCUCAAGGACUAGAGGAAGGAUAAUGGUUUGAUAUCAUCCCAUCCAUACUUUUUUUUUUAGAACGUGUAAAAUAAUGUUUAUUAGAGCAUGGUUUCUAAUUAUUCCAAAUUGACAACCACCACAAAGACAUGAGACUGGAUAAGAGCACCAAAUAGGUCAGUGUUAGAAACUAAAGGGGGCUGUGACUUAGCUCUGGACUUUUGAAAAGUGUGACUGCAAAGUGGAAUAACUAGAAAAAGUUCUUCUCGUUUGAUGAUUCUACUUUCUCACAUACAACACACACAAACACACACUCCUCACUUACCCUCAACCUGCUAUAAUCUAGAUUGUACCCAUUAUUGUUCAAAAUUUGCUAAUGACCUCCGUGUUCUUAGAUUUAAAGGAACCUUCCCAGUUCCAUCCAACUUUACCUCUUACUUCCCACGUUGUAGUAGUGGUAAAGAAUCCACCUGUCAAUACAGGAGACACAAAAGAUAUGAGUUCCAUUCCUGGGUCUAGAAGAUCCCCUGGAGUAGAAAUGGCAAGAGUGCUGGAGUGGGAUGCCAUUGCCUUCUCCACUGAAUACACUAGUGACUCUUAAAUCUGUAACAGCCUAGUCCUCUCUUUUGAAUUUCAGACCCAUAUAUUCAGUACCCCAUUUGUCAUCUCACACAGACAUUUUAUAGGCAAACUUUAUCCAAUCUGGAUUGGAUAAGCAAUACCUAGUAUUGUUUGGCAAACAGUAUC